GGGCCUAUAGCUCAGUCGGUCAGAGCGCUUCCCUGAUAAGGAAGAGGUCACAGGUUCAAGUCCUGUUAGGCCCA
rnacentral:tRNA from 1 species